UCUUCGAUGGUCUAGUGGUCAUGAUUUCCGCUUGUCAUCACCUGAUUACGAGCGCGGGAGACCGGGGUUCGAUUCCCCGUCGGAGAG
rnacentral:tRNA from 1 species